rnacentral:rRNA from 1 species
GUGGGGAAUUUUGGACAAUGGGCGCAAGCCUGAUCCAGCCAUGCCGCGUGUCUGAAGAAGGCCUUCGGGUUGUAAAGGACUUUUGUCAGGGAAGAAAAGGAUAGGGUUAAUACCCCUGUCUGAUGACGGUACCUGAAGAAUAAGCACCGGCUAACUACGUGCCAGCAGCCGCGGUAAUACGUAGGGUGCGAGCGUUAAUCGGAAUUACUGGGCGUAAAGCGGGCGCAGACGGUUACUUAAGCAGGAUGUGAAAUCCCCGGGCUCAACCUGGGAACUGCGUUCUGAACUGGGUGACUAGAGUGUGUCAGAGGGAGGUAGAAUUCCACGUGUAGCAGUGAAAUGCGUAGAGAUGUGGAGGAAUACCGAUGGCGAAGGCAGCCUCCUGGGAUAACACUGACGUUCAUGCCCGAAAGCGUGGGUAGCAAACAGGAUUAGAUACCCUGGUAGUCCACGCCCUAAACGAUGUCGAUUAGCUGUUGGGCAGCUUGACUGCUUAGUAGCGAAGCUAACGCGUGAAAUCGACCGCCUGGGGAGUNNNGUCGCAAGAUUA